rnacentral:rRNA from 1 species
AAAAAAGGUAAGCUACUAAGAGCGAAUGGUGGAUGCCUUGACUGGUAAAGGCGAUGAAGGACGUACUAGACUGCGAUAAGCUACGGGGAGCUGUCAAGAAGCUUUGAUCCGUAGAUUUCCGAAUGGGGCAACCCAAUGUAUAGAGAUAUACAUUACCUAUAUAGGAGCGAACGAGGGGAAUUGAAACAUCUUAGUACCCUCAGGAAAAGAAAUCAAUAGAGAUUGCGUCAGUAGCGGCGAGCGAAAGCGCAAGAGGGCAAACCCAGUGCUUGCACUGGGGGUUGUAGGACUGCAAUGUGCAAGAGGUAAGUUUAGCAGAACAUUCUGGAAAGUAUAACCAUAGAGGGUGAUAGUCCCGUAUGCGAAAAACAAACCUUAGCUAGCAGUAUCCUGAGUAGGGCGGGACACGAGGAAUCCUGUCUGAAUCCGGGUCGACCACGAUCCAACCCUAAAUACUAAUACCAGAUCGAUAGUGCACAAGUACCGUGAGGGAAAGGUGAAAAGAACUGAGGUGAUCAGAGUGAAAUAGAACCUGAAACCAUUUGCUUACAAUCAUUCAGAGCCCUAUGUAGCAAUACAGGGUGAUGGACUGCCUUUUGCAUAAUGAGCCUGCGAGUUGUGGUGUCUGGCAAGGUUAAGCAAACGCGAAGCCGUAGCGAAAGCGAGUCUGAAUAGGGCGCUUAGUCAGAUGCUGCAGACCCGAAACGAAGUGAUCUAUCCAUGAGCAAGUUGAAGCUAGUGUAAGAACUAGUGGAGGACUGAACCCAUAGGCGUUGAAAAGCCCCGGGAUGACUUGUGGAUAGGGGUGAAAGGCCAAUCAAACUUCGUGAUAGCUGGUUCUCUCCGAAAUAUAUUUAGGUAUAGCGUUGUGUCGUAAUAUAAGGGGGUAGAGCACUGAAUGGGCUAGGGCAUACACCAAUGUACCAAACCCUAUCAAACUCCGAAUACCUUAUAUGUAAUCACAGCAGUCAGGCGGCGAGUGAUAAAAUCCGUCGUCAAGAGGGAAACAACCCAGACUACCAGCUAAGGUCCCUAAAUCUUACUUAAGUGGAAAACGAUGUGAAGUUACUUAAACAACCAGGAGGUUGGCUUAGAAGCAGCCAUCCUUUAAAGAAAGCGUAAUAGCUCACUGGUCUAGUGAUUUUGCGCGGAAAAUAUAACGGGGCUAAAGUAAGUACCGAAGCUGUAGACUUGCACACAACUUAGAUUAUUUAAGUUUAGAAUAUGAGAAACUAAGUUAUAUGUUUAGUUAUAUUUUUACUGAUUUUUAUAGAGUAAAGAUAGAAAUAAAACUUAGUAAAAUCAGUAAAAAUAUUCUUAGACUAAAGUUAAGUAGUUUAAGUUGUGUGCAAGUGGUAGGAGAGCGUUCUAUU